rnacentral:rRNA from 1 species
CAGUAGCCGCGGUAAUACGUAGGUGGCAAGCGUUGUCCGGAAUUAUUGGGCGUAAAGGGCUCGCAGGCGGUUUCUUAAGUCUGAUGUGAAAGCCCCCGGCUCAACUGGGGAGGGUCAUUGGAAACUGGGAAACUUGAGUGCAGAAGAGGAGAGUGGAAUUCCACGUGUAGCGGUGAAAUGCGUAGAGAUGUGGAGGAACACCAGUGGCGAAGGCGACUCUCUGGUCUGUAACUGACGCUGAGGAGCGGAAGCGUGGGGAGCGAACAGGAUUAGAUACCCCGGUAGUCCCUGUCUCUUAUAC